rnacentral:rRNA from 1 species
AGGCUUACACUGCAAGUCGAGCGGAGUAGCAAUACAUCAGCGGCAGACGGGUGAGUAACACGUGGGAACGUACCUUUUGGUUCGGAACAACACAGGGAAACUUGUGCUAAUACCGGAUAAGCCCUUACGGGGAAAGAUUAUCGCCGAAAGAUCGGCCCGCGUCUGAUUAGCUAGUUGGUGAGGUAACGGCUCACCAAGGCGACGAUCAGUAGCUGGUCUGAGAGGAUGAUCAGCCACAUUGGGACUGAGACACGGCCCAAACUCCUACGGGAGGCAGCAGUGGGGAAUAUUGGACAAUGGGCGCAAGCCUGAUCCAGCCAUGCCGCGUGAGUGAUGAAGGCCCUAGGGUUGUAAAGCUCUUUUGUGCGGGAAGAUAAUGACGGUACCGCAAGAAUAAGCCCCGGCUAACUUCGUGCCAGCAGCCGCGGUAAUACGAAGGGGGCUAGCGUUGCUCGGAAUCACUGGGCGUAAAGGGUGCGUANGCGGGUCUUUAAGUCAGGGGUGAAAUCCUGGAGCUCAACUCCAGAACUGCCUUUGAUACUGAAGAUCUUGAGUUCGGGAGAGGUGAGUGGAACUGCGAGUGUANAGGUGAAAUUCGUAGAUAUUCGCAAGAACACCAGUGGCGAAGGCGGCUCCUGGGCCCGAUACUGACCCUGAGGCACGAAAACCUGGGGAGCAAACGAGAAUAAGAUACCCUGGUAUCCCCGCCGGUAACCAUGAAUGUCGGCCGUUAAGGGGGGUUACCCACCAGUGGCUGCACUAAAGCUUUGAGGAUUCCCCCUUGGGGAGUACGGUCCCCAGAUUUAGACUCCAGGAAUUUGGCGGGGGCCCGUUAAUCAGGGGGCCCUGUGGCUAAAUUCCCACCCACCGCCCAAA